GCUGGGCAUGGUGGCUCAUGCCUGUAAUCCCAGCAGCUCGGGAGGCUGAGGCAGGAGGUUCAUGAGUUCAAAGCCAGCCUCAG
rnacentral:sRNA from 1 species